rnacentral:lncRNA from 1 species
GUAAUGAGGCUUGGUGAUGGGUUGACUUGUCCACAUUGAUUAAUUCUAAUGAUGAAAAAGGGAUAAUAAAAGGCAAUGUGAUCAAUUGUUUGUGUGAUGUGUUGAGAAUUGUUUGAAAGGCUUGUUGAAUCAUUGUUGAUGUUGUAUCCUGAUUGUCUUGUUGUGAAUUGUGCAAUGUUAUGAAAAUGGUCAUCUCCUCAUUAUUUGUGUGAACAUGUCAUUUGCAUUGUUCUGAGACAUGGUUCUGACAAGUGUUAUGUGCAUUGAGAAAGAAUAAGAAAAUAAAGAGGAUGUACCAUUUCGAGGGACGUAUCGCGCGCCGCGAUGGUUACUAUUAUCGAGGGUCGUAUCGCACGCCGCGAUGGAUGCAUGGACAGAUAUGUCCCCCAUGGGUCCCGGACUGAGAGACAGCGGGUGUGUAUCAUUAGGUCAGACAUGCAUCACUAUACUUGACAUUGC